rnacentral:lncRNA from 1 species
AAAUUUCUUAUGCAACUUUUAAAGAAUUUUAGUGCACUCACGCGGGUUAGGACUUAGGAAUUUAAAACUGGUCCUCUUUUUGAAUCUUCUAAUUAUUCCUACGAAAAUUACAAAUAUUUAUUUCUUAAAUUUGUCAUUCUUACUCUUCCAUCAUUUAAUUCUGUAUUACUUUUCGCACUUCAAAUAUUAUUUUUAUUUUUCAUAUUCAAUUUACAGAAGGUGAGUGUGACUAAGGUUUCUUUUUUUUUUUUUUUUUUUUGAGGGAACGCGAGAUCAAUUAUUCAACACAAGAACAUGGAAUGUGGAAAU